ACUCAAAUGAAUAGACGGGGGCCCGCACAAGCAGCGGAGCGUGUGGUUUAAUUCGACGCAACGCGAAGAACCUUACCUGGGCUUGACAUGCACGUGGUACGGACCCGAAAGGGCGAGGACCCGCAAGGGAGCGUGCACAGAUGCUGCAUGGCUGUCGUCAGCUCGUGCCGUGAGGUGUUGGGUUAAGUCCCGCAACGAGCGCAACCCUCGCUGCCAGUUACGAUGUCUGGCGGGACUGCCGGGAUCAACCCGGAGGAAGGCGGGGAUGAGGUCAAGUCAGCACGGCUCUUACGUCCAGGGCUACACACACGCUACAAUGGCCGGUACAACGCGCAGCGAUGGGGCGACCCGGAGCGAAUCGCAGCAAAGCCGGUCUCAGUUGGGAUUGCAGGCUGCAACUCGCCUGCAUGAACGCGGAGUUGCUAGUAACCGCAGGUCAGCACACUGCGGUGAAUACGUUCCCGGGCCUUGCACACACCGCCCGU
rnacentral:rRNA from 1 species